rnacentral:tRNA from 1 species
ACCGACGUUGCGCAGAACCAGCGUAUCGAUCUGCAAGAGUGAAGGGCGGCUGGCCAUAGACGGCUUCGGCAAAGGGGGGCAGCUUGGUUCGGGCCUGCGCGUUGGUC